rnacentral:rRNA from 1 species
AGAGUUUGAUCCUGGCUCAGGACGAACGCUGGCGGCGUGCCUAACACAUGCAAGUCGAACGGAGAUAAAGAUUUCGGUUUUUAUCUUAGUGGCGCACGGGUGAGUAACACGUGAAUAACCUGACCCAAAGAGGGGGAUAACACCUGGAAAACUGGGAUUAAUACCGCAUAGUAUCGAAAGAUUAAAGCAGCAAUGCGCUUGGGGAUGGGCUCGCGGCCUAUUAGUUAGUUGGUGAGGUAACGGCUCACCAAGGCGAUGACGGGUAGCCGGUCUGAGAGGAUGUCCGGCCACACUGGAACUGAGACGCGGUCCAGACACCUACGGGUGGCAGCAGUCGAGAAUCAUUCACAAUGGGGGAAACCCUGAUGGUGUGACGCCGCGUGGGGGAAUGAAGGUCUUCGGAUUGUAAACCCCUGUCAUGUGGGAGCAAAUUAAAAAGAUAGUACCACAAGAGGAAGAGACGGCUAACUCUGUGCCAGCAGCCGCGGUAAUACAGAGGUCUCAAGCGUUGUUCGGAAUCACUGGGCGUAAAGCGUGCGUAGGCUGUUUCGUAAGUCGUGUGUGAAAGGCGCGGGCUCAACCCGCGGACGGCACAUGAUACUGCGAGACUAGAGUAAUGGAGGGGGAACCGGAAUUCUCGGUGUAGCAGUGAAAUGCGUAGAUAUCGAGAGGAACACUCGUGGCGAAGGCGGGUUCCUGGACAUUAACUGACGCUGAGGCACGAAGGCCAGGGGAGCGAAAGGGAUUAGAUACCCCUGUAGUCCUGGCAGUAAACGGUGCACGCUUGGUAUGCGGGGAAUCGACCCCCUGCGUGGCCGGAGCUAACGCGUUAAGCGUGCCGCCUGGGGAGUACGGUCGCAAGAUUAAAACUCAAAGAAAUUGACGGGGACCCGCACAAGCGGUGGAGUAAGUGGCUUAAUUUGAUGCAGCGCGAAGAACCUUAUCUGGGCUUGACAUGUAAUGAUCAACAUGUGAAAGCAUGAGACUCUUCGGAGGCGUUACACAGGUGCUGCAUGGCCGUCGUCAGCUCGUGUCGUGAGAUGUUUGGUUAAGUCCAGCAACGAGCGCAACCCCUGUUGCCAGUUACCAGCACGUGAAGGUGGGGACUCUGGCGAGACUGCCCAGAUCAACUGGGAGGAAGGUGGGGACGACGUCAGGUCAGUAUGGCCCUUAUGCCCAGGGCUGCACACGUACUACAAUGCCCAGUACAGAGGGGGCCGAAGCCGCGAGGCGGAGGAAAUCCUGAAAACUGGGCCCAGUUCGGACUGUAGGCUGCAACCCGCCUACACGAAGCCGGAAUCGCUAGUAACGGCGCAUCAGCUACGGCGCCGUGAAUAAGUUCCCGGGUCUUGCACACACCGCCCGUCA